rnacentral:rRNA from 1 species
CCUACGGGAGACUGCAGUGAGGAAUAUUGGUCAAUGGGCGCGAGCCUGAACCAGCCAAGUAGCGUGAAGGAUGACUGCCCUACGGGUUGUAAACUUCUUUUAUAAAGGAAUAAAGUGAGGCACGUGUGCCUUUUUGUAUGUACUUUAUGAAUAAGGAUCGGCUAACUCCGGGCCAGCCGCCGCGGUAAUACGGAGGGUCCGAGCGUUAUCCGGAUUUAUUGGGUUUAACGGGUGCGUAGGCGGAUCGUUAAGUCAGUGGUAAAAUUGAGGGGCUCAACCCCUUCCCGCCAUUGAAACUGGCGCUCUUGAGUGGAAGAGAAGUAUGCGGAAUGCGUGGUGUAGCGGUGAAAUGCAUAGAUAUAACGCAGAACCCCGAUUGCGAAGGCAGCAUGCCGGCUUCCGACUGACGCUGAAGCACGAAAGCGUGGGGAUCGAACAGGAUUAGAUACCCGAGUAGUC